UACGUAGGGUGCGAGCGUUGUCCGGAAUUAUUGGGCGUAAAGGGCUCGUCGGCGGUUUGUCGCGUCGGGAGUGAAAUCCACUGGCUUAACACCUGGCUUGCUUUCGAUACGGGCAGACUAGAGGUAUUCAGGGGAGAACGGAAUUCCUGGUGUAGCGGUGAAAUGCGCAGAUAUCAGGAGGAACACCGGUGGCGAAGGCGGUUCUCUGGGAAUGACCUGACGCUGAGGAGCGAAAUUGUGGGGAGCGAACAGG
rnacentral:rRNA from 1 species